rnacentral:lncRNA from 1 species
CUUGCACAGCUGGUGAGCAAUCAGCCCUUGAUUACUCACCAACUCCCAAUCAGCCCCAAUUAGUCCUGGACGGAGAGCCCGUCGAGAUCUGGCAUGUCCAGCCAAUGGAGCCAUCGCCUCGUGACGUACACUCUGUCUGUCACCAGGCCUCGACGAGUCUCCCCCUGGUGGCUGACCUGCUGUACGCCACAAUGAAUACAACAGUAUAUAUAGCAUGUUAACAUAGAGAUAUAUAUAUAUAAACUAUACAACAGUAUAUAUAGCAUGUUAACAUGGGAAUAUAUAUCAUCUAUAAAUGAAUAUAACAGUCUAUAUGGGUCCAGUGUUGGUUUCUUGAGGAUGGAAGCGACUCGGGCCAUCUUGAAGUCAGUUGUCAGGGAUGAGUUGGUGAGGGAAGUGAGGAAUGGGAGAAGGUCUCCAGAGAUGAGUUGAUGAAGGAAGUGAGAAGGUCUCCAGAGAUGGUGUGGAGAAGUGAGGAGGGAAUGGGGUUGAGUUGAUGAGGGAAGUUAGGAAGGGGAGGUCUCCAGAGAUGGUCUAGAGAAGGGAGGAGGGGUUGAGUGGGCAGGUUGUCGGGCGGACGGACAUCACUAAUCGCAGGAUUUUAUCUGGAGUGAGAGGGGAGAAAGAGGUCAAGGCGUAUGGUAGUUAUGGAGAGAGAUGGGAGAAAGAGGUCAAGGCGUAUGGUAGUUAUGGAGAGAGAGGGGAGAAAGAGGUCAAGGCGUAUGGUAGUUAUGGAGAGAGAGGGGAGAAAGAGGUCAAGGCGUAUGGUAGUUAUGGAGAGAGAGGGGAGAAAGAGGUCAAGGCGUAUGGUAGUUAUGGAGAGAGAGGGGAGAAAGAGGUCAAGGCGUAUGGUAGUUAUGGAGAGAGAUGGGAGAAAGAGGUCAAGGCGUAUGGUAGUUAUGGAGAGAGAUGGGAUAAAGAGGUCAAGGCGUAUGGUAGUUAUGGAGAGAGAGGGGAGAAAGAGGUCAAGGCGUAUGGUAGUUAUGGAGAGAGAGGGGAGAAAGAGGUCAAGGUGUAUGGUAGUUAUGGAGAGAGAUGGGAUAAAGAGGUCAAGGUGUAUGGUAGUUAUGGAGAGAGAGGGGAGAAAGAGGUCAAGGUGUAUGGUAGUUAUGGAGAGAGAGGGGAGAACGAGGUCAAGGUGUA